rnacentral:tRNA from 1 species
GAAAAAAGGUCUAAUCGGUUAAGGCGUCGCCCCGGACAGGCGAAGGUUGCGGGUUCAAUCCCCGCUCCUUUCC